GAACGCAGUUUGGUGUCAAUUGUCGCAUUCGUAAUCAAAUUGAACAUGAUUUGUUUGAGGGAUUGCGGUUAUCAGUGUUUCGAACAUCAGAAUAGUCAAAAGCUCUACCGAAGUACAAUUAUCUAACUAGAUUAGGUCAUAAAUCAUAAUUCGAAGUAAUUUGUAGAAGCUGAAAGUGGAGAAUUCGUGAGAAGCGCAAUACACACUCUAAAGCGCAAAUAGUUUCAGCUUGUGGAAGAUGAAAUAUCUACAUCAGCCUCUCCCCGCUUGUUCUUAUACAAUUCCUAAAAAAAAGCUCAAUUAAUACCUCCAGCAGUAUCUCUUCACAGAAGGUACUCACAGUCGGUGCAGACUGAAUGCAGACUCGACAGGCCGUCUUCUGGUGUACUUCUCAGCAUAUCCGUGAUGUUUGAAAGAGAUUAUCCGGUCUCUUGUCGAGAAACUGUUUUGAGUGUUCACUUGGAUAGAAAGUGUUCGAGCAUGUCACGUCGAAGUCCAUUUGGUCGAGCGCGUCACAGCCAUAGUUAGCCGCUUGCGUGAUUGACAGGGCUCCCUUACCAUUUGUGAUACGCAACGCACUUGAUAGCGUGGAUAUGAAGACAAUAACCUGAAGUUCUUUCACAUGUACAACGAAAUUUUGAUUGCAUUAUGAAAUCAAUAAUUCUUCCACCUAAGCUAUCAAGAAUUUCGUCAAGCACGGCUGUCAGCUGUUCAAGUGUCCUACAGAUAUGUAUGCAC
rnacentral:lncRNA from 1 species